GAUGAACGCUGGCGGCGUGCUUAACACAUGCAAGUCGAGCGAAGCACUUAAGUUCGAUUCUUCGGAUGAAGACUUUUGUGACUGAGCGGCGGACGGGUGAGUAACGCGUGGGUAACCUGCCUCAUACAGGGGGAUAACAGUUAGAAAUGGCUGCUAAUACCGCAUAAGACCACAGUACUGCAUGGUACAGUGGUAAAAACUCCGGUGGUAUGAGAUGGACCCGCGUCUGAUUAGGUAGUUGGUGAGGUAACGGCCCACCAAGCCGACGAUCAGUAGCCGACCUGAGAGGGUGACCGGCCACAUUGGGACUGAGACACGGCCCAGACUCCUACGGGAGGCAGCAGUGGGGAAUAUUGCACAAUGGGCGAAAGCCUGAUGCAGCGACGCCGCGUGAAGGAUGAAGUAUUUCGGUAUGUAACUUCUAUCAGCAGGAAAGAAAAUGACGGUACCUGACUAAGAAGCCCCGGCUAACUACGUGCCAGCCGCCGCGGUAAGAC
rnacentral:rRNA from 1 species